UACACGACCGUACCGCAAACCGACACUGGUGCGCGAGAUGAGUAUUCUAAGGCGCUUGAGAGAACUCAGGAGAAGGAACUCGGCAAAUUGACACCGUAACUUCGGAAGAAGGUGUGCCUUUAGUAGGUGAACCAUUUACUUGGGGAGCCCAAUGAGGCUGCAAAAAAUCGGUGGCUGCAACUGUUUAUUAAAAACACAGCACUCUGCUAAGACGAAAGUCGACGUAUAGGGUGUGACGCCUGCCCGGUGCUGGAAGAUUAAAUGAUGGGGUGCAAGCUCUUGAUUGAAGUCCCAGUAAACGGCGGCCGUAACGAUAACGGUCCUAAGGUAGCGAAAUUCCUUGUCGGGUAAGUUCCGACCUGCACGAAUGGCGUAAUGAUGGCCACACUGUCUCCUCCUGAGACUCAGCGAAGUUGAAAUGUUUGUGAUGAUGCAAUCUCCCCGCGGAAAGACGGAAAGACCCCAUGAACCUUUACUGUAGCUUUGUAUUGGACUUUGAACAGAUCUGUGUAGGAUAGGUGGGAGGCUUUGAAGUGUGGUCGCUAGAUCGCAUGGAGCCAACGUUGAAAUACCACCCUGGUGUGUUUGAGGUUCUAACCUAGGUCCAUUAUCUGGAUCGGGGACAGUGCAUGGUAGGCAGUUUGACUGGGGCGGUCUCCUCCCAAAGUGUAACGGAGGAGUUCGAAGGUACGCUAGGUACGGUCGGACAUCGUGCUAAUAGUGCAAUGGCAUAAGCGUGCUUAACUGCGAGACUGACAAGUCGAGCAGAUGCGAAAGCAGGACAUAGUGAUCCGGUGGUUCUGUAUGGAAGGGCCAUCGCUCAACGGAUAAAAGGUACUCUGGGGAUAACAGGCUGAUACCGCCCAAGAGUUCAUAUCGACGGCGGUGUUUGGCACCUCGAUGUCGGCUCAUCUCAUCCUGGGGCUGUAGCCGGUCCCAAGGGUAUGGCUGUUCGCCAUUUAAAGAGGUACGUGAGCUGGGUUUAAAACGUCGUGAGACAGUUUGGUCCCUAUCUUCCGUGGGCGCUGCAGAUUUGAGGAAGCCUGCUCCUAGUACGAGAGGACCGGAGUGGACGAACCUCUGGUGUAUCGGUUGUCACGCCAGUGGCAUUGCCGAGUAGCUAAGUUCGGAAGAGAUAACCGCUGAAAGCAUCUAAGCGGGAAACUCGUUUCAAGAUUAGAUCUGCCGGGGCCUUGAGCCCCCUAAAGAGUCGUUCAAGACCAGGACGUUGAUAGGUCAGGUGUGGAAGCG
rnacentral:rRNA from 1 species